GUUAUCUGCAUUUUGCUGAUGAGGAAACCAAAACCUAAGUGGCAGACCAAUGAUCUGAGGUGUCACUGACCCCAGAGCCUGCGACCCUUCCUUUGUAUCAUACCACCUCUCUCUAUGCAAAGGUUGUGUGGAUUCUUGAAAUUCCCAUAUAUCCCAUAUGACCACAUUAAUAUACUUUUCAAUAAUAUGUAGACUUCUUUUUAAAAUGGUUGGCGGAAAGGCUAAUGAAGGGAGUUUAUGGUAAUCUAGGCCUGUGAAUUUUGACCUGGGCACCUCCUUACCCACUGCCACAAGCUCCACAGCCCCUUAACAUUGCACACUAAAUUCCAGUAAUAUCAAUGGAGGAUAUAUGUGUGCAUGUGUGUACAGUAUUAUAAAAAUAGACUUAUAAUAAUGACUGUCAACAUUUACAUAGAAAAAUAAAGAAUGUGUUUUUUGUUCCCUACCCCUUACUCUUUUAUAUCAUUACCUUUUUCUUUAGCAUGGUCUGAAAGAAGAUUGUCUAGAGGAAGAAAGGAAAAGAUAAUGAGAUUUUUUGCCACUGCCUUGAGGAUCCCUGAUUCCUAUUGAUUUUACCUGCCCUUGGACCUGUCCACCUCUAUCUUCACCUCCACCUCCCUGAUCCGGUCUCUAAUCAACUCUCACCUGGACAACAGAAAUGGCAGCCCAAAUUGUCUCCCACAUCCUGUCUUAAUCCCUCUGGUCUCUACUAAACUCUGCAGCCUGAGAGAAUUGUUUAGUUUUUUUUUUUUUUUUAAAUCUGCCACCCUGGCUGGAUUGCAGUGGCAUGAUCUUGACUCACUGCAGAUUUUUUUUAAAAAUCUGCCACCCUGGCUGGAUUGCAGUGGCACGAUCUUGACUCACUGCAACCUCUGUCUCCGGGGUUCAAGCAAUUCUCCUGUCUGUCUCCUGAGUAGCUGGGAUUACAGGCACGCACCACCAUGCUCCACUAAUUUUUGUAUUUUUAGUAGAGACAGGGUUUCGCCAUGUUAAUCAGGCUGGGCUUGAACUCCCGACCUCAGGUGAUCCACCCUCUUCAGCCUCCCAAAGUGCUAGGAUUACAGGCGUGAGCCACCAUGCCCGGCCAAGUUUUUCAAAGCACAAUUACAUCUGAUAUCCCCAUUCCUUGCUUUACCACUGCUCUUACGAGAAUGACUAAAAUCCUGAAUGUGACCCACCAGGCCUCAGGAGGCUCAGCUCCGCCUCACUCCCCAGCCUCACCCCUGCCACUUUUCCCCUCACUCCUGCACCUCCUCAACUCCCCAGUGAGUGCUGCUUUCCCCGACCAUGCUUCUCUCUGAAGCUGUUCUUUCUGCGGUGGCUGGUUUUCCAUUCCCUCUUCACUCAUGACUUCUAGUCCUUCAGGACAAACUUCAUACCCUCAACCCUCAAGCUUGGUUGGUUCAUUCUGGUCAUAGCCUUCACAGAACCAGGAGCUUUCUUGUGUAGCUUUUGUACACAUUUAUUUGUGUUAACUAUUUAAUUCAUCUCAUUUCCCUGACUACACUGAAAGUUCCAGGAGGGCAAAAACUGUGUCUGCUUUUACUCACUAUUGCAUCCCCAGAAUCUAGUAUUGUCCAGGGCAUUUUGUAGAUAAUUAUCAAGUAUUUGUUGAACAAAUAAAAGCUUCCCCCAUGUUCAAGCUACUCGACUCCCAUAGAAUAAGAUCAAGCAAUGAGCUCACAGGCAAAAAUCAUUAAACAUACAGGAAGGCAAAGCUAUUACAAGUAAGAGGCAGUAAAAACUGGAAGCAACGGAUUUAGACAUUGCCACCAUCACCAAGGAUAGCAGAUAAUGGAAUUUUCAGGAACAGAAUCCAGAUAAGGCAAAGGCACACCAUGAUGAGAAGUACCAGGACAGGCAGGAUCACAGCCAGAGCCACUGCUGAGGGGGAGAGACUCCCCACAGAUGGGGCUGAAACAGAAACCACCAACGACUGACCUCAGGGAGAUGUCUAAGAGCUUCUGGCAUGCCUCAGAUGGCAGGCGGCUCCAGCACAUCCCAACACUCUCCAUCACCUCUAGGGAGAGAGCUCCGGCCAAGAGGCUCUUUGCUUCUCUGAUAACUCAAGCCCUGGAUAGCAUUAAAGAUAACUGAGGCUGGGAACGGUGGCUCACGCCUGUAAUACCAGCACUUUGGGAGGCAGAGGCAGGAGGAUCAUCUGAGAUCAGGAGUUCAAGACCAGCUGGCCAAUGUGGGGAAACUCCGUGUCUACUAAAAAUACAAAAAUUAGCCAGGUGUGGUGGCGGGCACCUGUAAUCCCAGCUCUUCAGGAGGCUGAGGCAGGAGAAUCCCUUGAACCCGGGAGGCAGAGGUUGCAGUGAGCCAAGGUCACACCAUUGUACUCCAGCCUGGGUGACAAGAGUGAAACUCCAUCUCAAAAACAAACAAACAAACAAACAAACAAAAACUGAGAUGUUCCUCUCUCGGGAAUGGUUUGGAUGGUCCUGCCUCAAGAUGAUGACUUAAACAAACUUCUUGACCACAAUCUCAUCCUGCCCUAUAAUUCAAUGGAAAAAUAAGCCCGGGACUUCAGAGGACUGAAGGCACUCUCCUCACUACACACCUCCAGUCUUCCCAGGAGCACCUGCCUGUUUACCCCUGUCAAUCCUCACUCUGCUCUAGAAGAGCAGGCAGCAACCUCUUUGCCCUGAGCACUGUCCACGGGGGCAAAGCAAUUUCUAUGAUGCCGCAGCAGUAGGCCUGAAGCCUAGGCAGGAGAGAAAGGGGAAAAGAAAGAGGAAAUAGAGGAGAGGAAACGAGCAGAAGCGGGCUAUGGGUAGAAGUAGUUAAGAGCCUAAGCUGGGAGUAUGUCCUUGCUCAAUGCUGUGUGACCCAAAGCAGGAGACUGAGCACCUCCCAGCCCAUUGUCCCUCAUCUGUAAAAUGUGUGCAUGACAGGACUCCUUAUCUCUUUGAGGUUUGGAGAGAUUUAAAGAGGUCAGUCAUAUAAAGCAUUCAGUCUCCUAAGUAGCCGGGAUUACAGGCACAUGCCACCAUGCCUGGCUAGUUUUUGUAUUUUUUUGGUAGAGACAAGGUUUUGCCAUGUUGGCCAGGCUGGUCUCCAGUUCGUUUCAAGGAUCAUUAAAAGGUUCAGGCCAGGUGUGGUGACUCACACCUGUAAUCCUAGCACUUUGGGAGGCUGAAGCAGGAGUAUCACUACAGCUCAGGAGUUUCAGACCAGCCUGGGCAGCAUGGUGAGAGCUCAUCUUUAUUAUAAAUAAAAAAGAAAAAAUAAGUAAAAGGUUUGAACCCUUGGACCCAUUAAUUCUACUGCCAGAAGUACAUUAUUAAAAAAAAAAUCAAAAUCACUUUCCAAAAUACGUUCAAAGAUGUUCAUUGCACCCUUCAUUAUAAUAUGAGGAAAAUUUGGAAAGCAUCCAGAUGCCCAGAAACAGGGCUUUGAUUAAUUUUAUUAUUCUAUAGCCACAUGGCAAAAUACUAUGCAGCCCUUAAAAUCAUAUUACUUAGGGACAUGGGCAAAGAAAACAAAUGCUCAUGAUAUCAUAAGUGGAAAAAUAUCCUGGGCACAAGAAUACACAUGUGUAAACAUACAUGCUCAGAGAUACAUAUAUACAAAAAAGUCUUGCAAGAAAGAUACAAAAAUGUUAGCAGCAGUUCUCUCUAAUUUAAGCUAUUAUAGGCCAUUUUUCAGUUUCCUUUAAAUAUUUUGGAUUUUUUUCAAAUUUUCUACAAUAUAUAUGCUUUAUUCUUAGAAUUUAAAAAAAUUGAAAAUUCCUCAAAAAGUUCCUGCUAGGGUAGGAAUUUCCUCAGGAACCACCAGCGCCUUCAAACCUGUUUCCACCCCAGCUUUUACUUGUUAUGACCACAGCUGUGGUCUUCUCUUGGCCAAGGGCCAUGUUGUGGAUGGUUCAGGACACAUUCCCCAGUGUGCUGUCCCUGACUCUGCUAGACACUGCUAUUUGGAAGAGCCCAGCUUUUUCCAGAGAGUGGGCCUCUGACAGGGAUGGAAGUACCCUGCCUUGAGGUUCUCUCCACUUGGCCCAGGGCUCUGGGAACCAUCCCACCUAUCUGCACACCAGCAGGGCCUCUGCCAGGGUAUGGUCCUGGCCAUGGCCCUCUUCCCCCAUAGCCUCCUGUGAUGAACAGGGGCAGCUGUUAAUGGAACUUGUCCUCUCUCCACUCUCUCCCCACGCUCCUCCUAAUGGGAUAAGCCAGUCUCUAGCUUUAUUCUCAGACAUUUAAAAAUUCACCCAUAGCAAUAACUGUAUCACAUGAUUCAGAUUCCUGUGGGCACCUCGGUCCCCUUUUAAAAAUUACUUUUCAGCUGGGCAUGGUGGCUCAUGCCUGUAAUUCCAGCACUUUGGGAGGCUGAGGUGGGAGGAUCACCUGAGGUCGGGAGAUUGAGAUCAGCCUGACCAACAUGAAGAAACCCCGUCUCUACUAAAAAUACAAAAAUUAGCCGGGCGUGGUGGCACAUGCCUGUAAUCCAGCUACUCGGGAGGCUGAGGCAGGAGAAUCACUUGAACCUGGGAGGCGGAGGUUGUGGUGAGCCCAGAUAGCAUCAUUGCACUCCAGCCUGGGCAACAAGAGUGAAACUCCAUCUCCAAAAAAAAGAAAAAAGAAAAAAAAAUUAGUUGGCCAUGGUGGCGGGCACCAGUAAUCCCAGCUAACUCAGGAGGCUGAGGCAGGAGAAUCACCUGAACCCAGGAGGCGAAGUUGCAGUGAGCCAAGAUUGCACCAAUGCACUCCAGCCUGGGCAACAAGAGCAACACUCCAUCUCAAAAAAAAAAAAAAAAAAAAAAAAAAAAAUUAAUUUUCACCCCAAAGGACUCCAAUUUGGAAAGUCUGUCUACCAACUACUGAGUGUUUUAAAGUAAUUGAUUCAUCCCCACUUCAUGGUGUGUGACUUCAAAUUAUGACCAAAAGAUAAUCAGCAUGUGACCAUGUGAAGCCAGUGUCAUUCAAGCAAAUGCAAAGACAUGGUUUGGGUUGGGUUGAGUUGGGUUUGGUUUGGUAGACUGAUUUUUUAAAAUAUUAGUAGACUGAUUUUUGUGGACUGAUUUUCAGUAAACUGUUUUUUUUAAAUAUU